rnacentral:rRNA from 1 species
UACGUAGGGGCCGAGCGUUGUCCGGAGUUACUGGGCGUAAAGCGCGCGCAGGCGGCUCGUCAAGCCUGACGUGAAAGCCCCCGGCUCAACCGGGGAGGGUCGUCGGGGACUGGCGGGCUUGAGGUCGGCAGGGGUUGGUGGAAUUCCCGGUGUAGUGGUGAAAUGCGCAGAUAUCAGGAGGAACACCGGUGGCGAAGGCGGAUCUCCGGGCCGUAACUGACGCUGAGGAGCGAAAGCAUGGGGAGCGAACAGG